rnacentral:rRNA from 1 species
UACAGAGGUCCCAAGCGUUGUUCGGAUUCACUGGGCGUAAAGGGUGCGUAGGUGGUGAGGUAAGUCGGAUGUGAAAUCUCCGAGCUCAACUCGGAAAUGGCAUUGGAAACUACCUUGCUCGAGGGUUGGAGGGGGGACUGGAAUGCUUGGUGUAGCAGUGAAAUGCGUAGAUAUCAAGCGGAACACCAGUGGCGAAGGCAGCUCGCUGGCCUAAAACUGACGCUGAGGCGCGAAAGCGUGGGGAGCAAACAGG